CGGAUUCUCGGUCGCUGGUAGCAGGAAAUAGCCCGACGACGAACUGGCAGUGGUCAGAUUGCUCGCUGCAUCUUCAUCACUCUCUUGUUUCUGAGAGGCAAAGGAAGCAGGCACCGAAGCUUCUUGCCUAACGCCAUGACCGCCUGCUCCAAAGCUAAUUAGGCAGGUGUCCUGAAAAAUGGAAGCAGAGACCAUCUGAGGAGGCACCACGGUUGGAUCCCUGCAGGUGUGUUCCCCGAUGUAUGUGAUCACGAAAUCAGUGGGAUCGUCCUCUGAUAACUGCGCCUGUCUGUGCGCCAUGCAACCUUGAUCGUACUUGUGGGUACACCUGAAGUAG
rnacentral:lncRNA from 1 species